rnacentral:rRNA from 1 species
GGUGUGGGCGUUUGAUGCUUGAAGAGGAGAUCUUCCUAGUACGAGAGGACCGGGAGAUACUGACCUCUAGUGUUCCAGUUAUCCUGCCAAGGGUAGUAGCUGGGUAGCUAUGUCGGGAAAGGAUAAGCGCUGAAUGCAUAUAAGUGCGAAGCCCCCCUCAAGAUUAGGCAUCAUUUUUCUUCGGAAAUGAAAACUCCUUGUAGACUACGAGGUUGAUAGGCUGCAUGUGUAAGACCAGUAAUGGUUUGAGCUAAGCAGUACUAAUAAGUUGAACGCUUGACUUU